CAGCUCCAAUAGCGUAUACUAAUGUUGUUGCAGUUAAAAAGCUCGUAGUCGGAUUUCAGUUUGUUGAAAGUUUCUUAUACAGAUAACUUUUCGACUUACUUCAUUGAUACGAACCUGCAUCUGAUUCAUUUCCGGUGUUGACUAGUAUCUCUUUUACUUUGAGAAAAUUAGAGUGUUCAAAGCAGGUUUUCGCCUGAAUAUUACUCUUGGAAUAAUGAUAUAGGACUUUGGUUCUAAUUUGUUGGUGUAUUGGGACCGGAGUAAUGAUUGAUAGGGACGGUUGGGGUCAUUCAUACUGCAAAGCGAGAGGUGAAAUUCUUGGACCUUUGUAUGAUGAACAACUGCGAAAGCAUUUGACUAGGACGUUCCCGUUGAUCAAGAACGAAAGUUGGGGGAUCGAAGACGAUCAGAUACCGUCGUAGUCUCAACCAUAAACUAUGCCAGCUAGGGAUGGGAAGGUGUUUACUUAUGACCCUUUCCGCACCUUAUGAGAAAUCAAAGCAUUUGGGUUCCGGGGGGAGUAUGGUCGCAAGGCUGAAACUUAAAGGAAUUGACGGGAGGGCACCACCAGGGGUGGAGCCUGUGGCUUAAUUUGACUCAACACGGGAAAACUUACCAGGUCCGGACAUAGUAAGGAUUGACAGAUUGAAAGCUCUUUCUUGAUUCUAUGGGUGGUAGUGCAUGGCCGUUCUUAGUUGGUGGAGUGAUUUGUCUGGUUAAUUCCGUUAACGAACGAGACCUCAGCCUGCUAAAUAGUUUACUUUUCUUUUGAAUAGUCGAACUUCUUAGAGGGACUACUUCGCAAACAAGCGAGAGGAAGCUUGAGGCAAUAACAGGUCUGUGAUGCCCUUAGAUGUUCUGGGCCGCACACGGGCUACACUGGUGUAUUCAACAAGUCUUGUCACCUAGUUUGCAGAAACCGGGUAAUCUUUGAAUCUACACCGUUGCUUGGGAUAGACUUUUGCAAUUUUUAGUCUUC
rnacentral:rRNA from 1 species